rnacentral:lncRNA from 1 species
AAUUGGAUAUGGGUAUUGUAGCUGACAGGUCUUGGGAGCUGAGUCAGGGUCAGGGAGACUGUGAUGGCAAUGAGAAGUCAACACACUGAGGAUAGGGAGAAAGAAGAUGAGUCUGGGAGAGAAAGAGAAUGAUUCUUCUGGCCGAGGGAAAGGAAGAAUAUCUGUUCCUGCAACUGCACUGAUUCUAGAAACACUCUCAAUUCAAACUCUCUUGAGGUGCUGACCUGCUUGUUGAAUGCUGGGAUCUCCAGAAGAGGGAGGCAGACAUCACACACCAGCUGGCAAGUGGGAGCUGGUAUGCAACAUGCCCCAAUACCACUCCCCUUCUGCCAUCCCUAUCUCCUAAUGAUGCCUCCUUUUGGCCAAACCCACCUUUGGCUGGAGGGCAACAGAGCCCAUUGACAUGGUCCCCUUGCAUCUGCUACCUGGGGAGAAAAGCAGGAUGGACACUGAAUCUAGAGAAAUGAAGGAACCCAUCCAGAAGAGUACUGCUUCUUUAUGCUUUUGUAGGUGCACAAAUCAGGCCUCCCCAUGAUAUUCUAAACUCCUUGAGGAAAGAAGUGGAGUCCUGGGCUUCUGAUGUAGCCUCCACAGUGCUCAGGGGAUAGUGACACUGGCACCCUAUAGAUAUUUAAUUACAUGUGGACUGAAAGAGACCAAACAGCUUCCUGGUAUUUCAAUCAAACCCGGUGCUCUAGACCUGUGGCUCACUCUAAGCAAACUAUAAUGAGUUGAACUUGAAUCUGAUUCCUGCUAAGAGAGGUUUCAUUUUAAUAGGCAGUAAGGCUAUGAGCUAACACCAGAACUCAUUCGAGUUACUAGACUCACUGAAACUCCUCACAGGAUCCAUCUUUCAUGUUUUCUAGAUUUUGGUAUUCUUAUCUAAACUGCAGCCCAGAAACCCUAUGGACCCUACCUUCCCAAUUAUAUUUCUGGGAAGAGUCAUUCUCUGCAGAGCUAAAGCAUGUAACAGAAAGUUCUCAACCUGAAAAAUAUACCUUCUGCACCCAAGCCCUGCUUUCUGCCAGUAUUUGGUAAUCUCAAGUGGGUAAGGUGUUCUCUGAACUUCAGCGCUCUCAUAGUCAGAGCCGCAAGGGGUUACUGGGAGGCUAAAGGGAAGUGGCAAAGGUGGCUGAGAUUCAGAAAGAAAAGUAGCAAGUGUAGAGAGGCAAGGACUUUUCCACAUUUUAAAUUCCUUAAAGGUAGCCAAAGUUCAUUUUCCAGUCUCCUUCAGAUGCCUCUCCAAUCCUUCACAGCAGCGCACACAUACCGCAGAAGGAACUCACCAUCACAAAAAGAUGACAGAGCACUGGGGGCUGGGGCGCCACUUGUGUUGGCUGAGAGCCUGGAUGCAUGUGAGGUCAAGCCUGACCUUGGGAAAGCUGCUUUCUGGACAUUACUUGCUGUGCCACACACACAGCUUGGGUUUCUGAGGAAACAACACGGGCUCUAAGGAGGAACUGGAAUGGGGCCCAGGGUUUAUCUUUCACAGCCCUUACUUUUGAGGAAAAUAGAAGACAAAAGGUUUUUAAAAAACACAAAGUGUAUACACAAAGUUUACAGGUUUGUGUGUUUUAAUAUCUACUCUCCUUAAGAAUAAGUAGACAGGAUAUUACCUGAUAUGGGUUAAAUUGUGUCCCCAAAAACAUGUUUUGAAGUGCUAACCUUUGGUACCUGUGGACAUGACCUUACUUGGAAAUAGGUUUUUGCAGACGUAACCAAGUUAAGAUGAGGUCAUAUUUGAUUAGGCUGAACCCUGAAUCCAGUAUGACUGGGGUCCUUAUAUAAACAGGAGAGACACACGCAGAGUGAAGAUGAUGUGUUGAAACACAGGAACAGUGUCACGGGAUGCUGGGGACAGCAGUUGGAGUGAUGCAUCUAUGGGCCAAGGGAAUGCCAAGGAUUGCCAGCUAUCACCUGGAGAGAAGCAUGGGACUGAUGCCCUCACGGAGCCCUCCGAGAGAGCCAACCCUGCUGACACCUUGAUUUCAGACUUCUAGCCUCCAGAACUGUGAGAGAAUAAAUUUCUGUUUUCUUAAGCCACCCAGUUUGUAGCACUUUAUUAUGGCAGCCCUGGGAAACUAACACACUACCCUUAUUUUCAUGCUGAGGAAUGUAAGAUAGUUUUAGUCACCACCUGCUUCUAUACAAGUUUUAUGAUCUCUCCUCUUAGUACUGCAGAAGUUAUGGGUUUUACCAUUUUAGUAUAUAGCAUAAUAUAUCCAGCACACAUUAUAUAUUUAGCACUUUAUUAGAGUACCCUAGUUUUCUCUUCUGAAAAACUGUGAGCCUGGAUUUGAUGAUUUCUAAGGCUUUUAUUUUUUCCCUAUGUAUUCUCUGAUCAGAAUACCCUGUUCAAUGAAGCCACUGGUAAUGAAGCUCAUUAAAAAUGAAAUCACUUAGGCAGGGAGUUGGAGAGUGACUCGUUUAAAAUGUUGCCUCCUGGAAACUGAAGUUCAUUGAACACAAAAGCUUUGGGCGGGACUCAGAUUGGUAGGGACUCUGCAGUCUGAUGAAUGGGUCUGGUGACAGGGAGCAUCUGAUCCCGUCUAGGGAGGGUAGGGAGAGGGAGUCUGGAGAGGGACGCGUAAACAAGCCAUCUUCAGACAUACUACCUACUCCUCUCCCAUGUCUCCUGCAUGCUUGGAUGUUACACUUCUUUAAAGAGCAGGCGACAGGUUGCCCCUGGGAUGCUCAGAGCCAGGCAAGGUGGGACUUGCCCCUGCUCCCCCUUCCUCUAUCUGAAAAGUUGCCGUUAGUCCCACGGGGCCCCUUCCUGUCACACUGACACAGCUUGCUGGUUUUUGUUUUCUUUCACUGUCCUUUUUCUUUUUUCAAAAGCUCCUCACAGGAAGGGUUUGGCAGGCAGCUCAGGCCCCUGCUGCGAUGGAGAAUCUAGCAAACUUGUCCCGCUGAUUGAUUAAACACCGAGGAGGCUCCAAGACCCGAGCAUGAAAUUCCUUGGCUCUGAUUGUGAUAAGGGUAGAGCUCGUUAAUGAAUGGAGUCUGAUUACAGCCCAGCCUCUCCAGUGCCUCCUGUUGCCCCAAUUUGGGGGAUUCUUCUGCUUUGAGUACAUCUUGGAAAGCAGCACAGAGUUCUCAGCAGGAUCUGCGACGUCUGAUCCAAGAAAGAUUUUUGUUGUUGUUGUCAUUGUUGUUUUUUAAUCCUGAUCGUUGCUCUCAAACCCUUCUCUACACAGCUUGGCGUGGGGGGUAGUUGAUUCCAGUGAAACCAGGUGGAAGCAGUGCCACUGCCACCUGUGAGGAGGAAAUGGGCAACAUUCUGCUUCAUCCAUCCUGAACAUUCAGGCCCGAAUGUUCCAAACUGAUACUAAACUGAGACUCUCUGAAGGCCCAUGGGGAAGCCUGGCAUUGUAUAACCGUUUCUUCUAGCAAGGCUCUCUCCUCACAUUCACAGCCUGCCACUUAAAGCUUUGGGAGACAAUGUAGUCGACCUGUAGUUCUUCCUGUAUGUGGUUCCUGGUCAGUCACUGGGCAAGGAGGAGGCUGCAGGCAUUGUGCUAUGCCCUUAUCUCUCUCUCUCUGUUUGUCUCUUAUCUAGUUAAAAUCAGGAAAUGGAGCUUGGUCCUUUGUUUGUAAAGUAAGGGUGUGGAAAAUGAUCCCUAAGGUACCUCCUAGUUUAGAAAAGUCUUAAUGCUGUUUUAUAAUAACUCACCCACCUCUCCUCUUCCAUGAGCUCAGAGCUGCCCAGCCCUAGGAAUGUGUUUCUGCCACAACAAGGAAUACAGAAGGAGUUGAGCAGGAAACCUGCCUCCUAUCAGAUUCACCUGAGGACGUGGGUUGUCACGAGCUCCCCAAACAAUAAAGCACUUUACGACAUAGGAGGCAUUAUUAUUAAGCUGUUUUCAGUCCCUGAUACCUGCAGGUUGUAGGACCAUGGUGCAUGAAGGAUUUUAAGGAGGCAUUUGAGAAGAAUGAGACAGUAGACAGUGAGGUCACAUGACAAUCUGGGGAUGGGUGGAGGCACUUUUGAAAUGUGAAAGGGACAUAGACUGUAUAUCUGGAGCACAAAGGCAGGUUUCACCAGCUUUGUCCUGCUCAGCACCAGUUGGAAGAGAGCAUCUGGCUUUGAAGUGUCUAAAGCCAGGCAUGAUGCUGGAUUCUACAGCUGGGUUUUGCUUCAUCACCCAGGCUGGAGUGCAGUGGCAUGAUUGGAGCUCAGUGCAGCCUUCAAUCCCUGGGCUCAAGGAAUCCUCUCACCUCAGCCUCCCAAAUAGCUAGGACUACAGGCUGGAGUGCAAUGGCAAGAUCUUUGCUCACUGAAACCUCUGCCUCCUGGAUUCAAGUGAUUCUCCUGCCUUAGCCUCCACAGUAACUGGGAUUACAGAUUUCUGAUAACUUUGGAGAUUGUGAGAGCAGAAUGGAGGGAUAACUUUCUGUAAUCAUGGAGAGCUGAAAUAUUCAUGAAUAUGAAGCACAACAGGAAUUAACUGCAUAGACUGAACUAGUAGAAGACUGAAGUAAUCCUUUUGACUUUUUGCUUAAAAUGUGGCUGAUCCUUUGUUUCAUUUUUCAGAGUCAAGGAAACUUUUCUUUUGAGGUAUUGACAGGUUUUAACAAUUAAAUACACUGUACUUCUGUGAAAGAAAUUUGGAGCUUAUUUGUUUCUCUCUAUCUGAUUUCUCCAGAAUUUAGAAACUAUGUGUGAGUAUUCUUAACUUAUGGAAAUAUAGUUAUUUACAUAAGUGCAAUAAGAAUCUGUUUUCAUUUGUAACAGACACAAUUAGAGAAGCUAAUUAUUUUACCAAGGCUUUCACUGGAGUAGUGUGCUUUCCUUUAAGGAAUCAAACUUUACUUACAGAGCCAAUGAAAGCCCCUUGGGAAAAGUGGCCUCAUACCUUGUUUUCACUGUCCUGGUACAGGGUUCCUGGCAUGGGAUAAGUAAAGAAUAUUGCUUUCUGACAGGCCAAGGAGCCCCAAGUCAUCUUGAGACCUCAAGAAGAAAGGAAUUCACCCAACUUAUAGGUAUUUAAUGGUACAAAUCCACGGCUGGGCUCAGCUUUAAAAAAGUCUUAUCUGAGACUCCUUCUACGGAACAAAGUUCCAUCGAAACCAAUUUAAAAAGCCCAUGUGAAAAAUAAUUAUUCUUGCUGCACUUUAUAGAAUUAAUCUGGCCAAGUGUAAUAAAGCAAAUUGGUACUACCAUAAUUUGACUUUAAAAUGGGAAAUUGGAGAGAAAAAAAAUAUGUUUCAAAACUACAGUAUACCUUUUGUUGAUUCUAGUCUUGCCUAAUAUUUUUCAAUUUUUAUUAUUUUCUACAGUUUGGACUGAACUCUAAUUUUCCCUGGCUACAAGUCUCCAAAAUAAUGUUUUCAAUUUUUUUCUUCCUUUUUCUUGUUUUCCUUUUCCCCCCAAUUUUUCCUAAUUUGAAAUCACUGAAAACUAAGUUGUGUUUUCUUAAAGCCCUGUGAACUGAAACUAGACAACUUAGCUUCAGAAGACAAUAAUAGCAACCCAUUCACAUACAUAAGCCAACUCUCAUACCUGCCUACUGAUGUAUGGACUUCAGAGUAAUGUGGCC